rnacentral:rRNA from 1 species
AGAGUUUGAUCCUGGCUCAGGAUGAACGCUGGCGGCGUGCUUAACACAUGCAAGUCGAGCGAAGCAGUUAAGAAGAUUCUUCGGAUGAUUCCUGACUGACUGAGCGGCGGACGGGUGAGUAACGCGUGGGUGACCUGCCCCAUACCGGGGGAUAACAGCUGGAAACGGCUGCUAAUACCGCAUAAGCGCACAGAGCUGCAUGGCUCGGUGUGAAAAACUCCGGUGGUAUGGGAUGGGCCCGCGUCUGAUUAGGCAGUUGGCGGGGUAACGGCCCACCAAACCGACGAUCAGUAGCCGGCCUGAGAGGGCGACCGGCCACAUUGGGACUGAGACACGGCCCAAACUCCUACGGGAGGCAGCAGUGGGGAAUAUUGCACAAUGGGGGAAACCCUGAUGCAGCGACGCCGCGUGAGCGAAGAAGUAUUUCGGUAUGUAAAGCUCUAUCAGCAGGGAAGAUAAUGACGGUACCUGACUAAGAAGCCCCGGCUAACUACGUGCCAGCAGCCGCGGUAAUACGUAGGGGGCAAGCGUUAUCCGGAUUUACUGGGUGUAAAGGGAGCGUAGACGGCAAGGCAAGUCUGAUGUGAAAACCCAGGGCUUAACCCUGGGACUGCAUUGGAAACUGUCUGGCUCGAGUGCCGGAGAGGUAAGCGGAAUUCCUAGUGUAGCGGUGAAAUGCGUAGAUAUUAGGAGGAACACCAGUGGCGAAGGCGGCUUACUGGACGAUAACUGACGCUGAGGCUCGAAAGCGUGGGGAGCAAACAGGAUUAGAUACCCUGGUAGUCCACGCCGUAAACGAUGA